rnacentral:rRNA from 1 species
UACGUAGGGUGCGAGCGUUAAUCGGAAUUACUGGGCGUAAAGCGUGCGCAGGCGGUUCGCCAAGUCAGGUGUGAAAUCCCCGGGCUUAACCUGGGAAUUGCGCUUGAAACUAGCGGGCUUGAGUGUGGCAGAGGGGGGUGGAAUUCCACGCGUAGCAGUGAAAUGCGUAGAGAUGUGGAGGAACACCGAUGGCGAAGGCAGCCCCCUGGGUCAACACUGACGCUCAUGCACGAAAGCGUGGGGAGCAAACAGG